rfam:Capsicum annuum cultivar Zunla-1 chromosome 3, whole genome shotgun sequence
CGACCCCAGGUAAGGUGGGAUUACCCGCUGAUUUUAAUCAUAUCAAUAAGCGAAGGAAAAGAAACUUACCAGGAUUUCUUUAGUAACGGCGAGUGAACCGGGAACACCCUAGCCUUAGAAUUGGGCGGCUCCGUUGUCUGAAUUGUUGUCUGGAGACGCGUCCUCAGGGGCAGACCGGGCCCAAGUCCCCUGGAAGAGGGAUCUAGAGAGGGUGAGAUCCCCGUUGUGCCCAGACCCUAUUGCAUUAUGAGGCACUGUCUACAAGUCGGGUUGUUUAGGAAUGCAGCCCAAAUCGGGCGGUGAAUUCCUUCCAAGGCUAAAUACGGGCGAGAGACCGAUAGAGAACAAGUACUGGGAGGGAAUGAUGAAAAGGACUUUGAAAAGAGAGUCAAAGAGUGCAUGAAAUUGACAGGAGAGAAGUGGAUGGGGGCUGGCGAUGCGCACCGGUCGAAUUUGGAACGGCAACGAGCCGGUCUGCCGAUCGACUCGGGGCGUGGACUAGCGUGGAUUGGAGAGGCGGCCGAAGCCCAGGCUCUCGAUAUGCUCGUAAAUGCCGUCUCCUCGAUUGUGGCAGGCAGCGCGCGCCUCCGGCGUGCUUCGGUAUCUGCACGCUCCGGACGCUGGCCUGUGGGCUCCCCAUUCGACCCAUCUUGAAACACAGACCAAGGAGUAUGACAUGUGUGUGAGUCAACGGGCGAGCAAACCCAUAAGGCGUAAGGAAGCUGACUGGUGGUAUCCCCCUAAGGGGUGCACCACCGACCGACCUUGAUCUUUUGAGAAGGGUUCAAGUGUGAACAUACCUGUCGGGACUCGAAAGAUGGUGAACUAUGCCUGAGCGGGGCGAAGCCAGAGGAAACUCUAGUGGAGGCCCGCAGCGAUACUGACGUGCAAAUCAUUCGUCUGACUUGGGUGUAGGGAUGAAAGACUAAUCAAAUCGUCUAGUAGUUGGUUCCCUCCAAAUUUUACCUCAAGAUAGCUGGAGCUCGCAUGCGAGUUCUAUCGGGUAAAACCAAUGAUUAGAGGCCUCGGGGGCGCAACGCCCUUGACCUAUUCUCAAACUUUAAAUAGGUAGGAUGGCGCGGCUGCUUUGUUGAGCCACGCCACGGAAUCAAGAGCUCCAAGUGGGCCAUUUUUGGUUAGCAGAACUGGUGAUGCGGGAUGAAUUGGAAGCCGGGUUACGGUGUCAAACUGCACGCUAACCUAGAUCUCACAAAGGGUGUUGAUUGGGAAUGGUUCCUUCGGGGGCCUUCCCUGCGCGUCGAACAGCCAACUCAGAACUAGUACGGACAAGGGGAAUCCGACUGUUUAAUUAAAACAAAACAUUGUGAUGGUCCCAACAGAUGUUCACGUAAUGUGAUUUCUGCCCAGUGCUCUGAAUGUCAAAGUAAAGAAAUUCAACCAAGCGCUAGUAAACGGCGGGAGUAACUAUUACUCUCUUAAGGUAGCCAAAUGCCUCAUCAUCUAAUUAGUGAUGCGCAUGAAUGGAUUAACAAGAUUCCCGCUGUCCCUAUCUACUAUCCAGCAAAACCACAGCCAAGGGAACGGGCUUGGCAGAAUCAGCAAAGAAAGAAGACCCUGUUGAGCUUGACUCUACUCCUACUUUAUGAAAUGACUUGAGAGGUGUAGUAGAAGUGGGAGCCGAAAGGCGAAAGUGAAAUACCACUACUUUUAACGUUAUUUUACUUAUUCUGUGAAUCGGAAGCGGGGAACUGCCCCUCUUUUUGGACCCAAGGCUCGUUCUGCGGGCGGAUCCGGGCGGAAGACAUUGUUAGGUGGGGAGUUUGGCUGGGGUGGCACAUUUGUUAAAAGAUAAUGCAGGUGUCCUAAGAUGAGCUCAACGAGAAUAGAAAUAUCGUGUGGAACAGAAGGGUAAAAACUCGUUUGAUUCUAAUUUCCAGUACGAAUACGAACUGUGAAAGAGUGGCCUAACGAUCCUUUAGACUCGCCCAUAUCCCUCUUUCAAAGAUAAUAUAGGAUCCAAAAGUAUACUCAUAUCCCUCAUUCAGUAAUGAUGUGAGAUUUUGGGAAUUUCAUGUUUUUACCCACAAAUUCCAAUUCAACAAACAAAUAUUAGUGAAACCCAACAUCUUUAAUCAAGAAUCUACACUAAUAAUUAAAACCCACUCACAUUUUCACCCUAUUCAAAUGUAAUACCAAGUUGAAUAUUUAACUACUCAUGAAAAUAGGAAAAAGAGAAUUAUCCAAGUUGACAUUCAUUUCCUCAAUUGAAA